UUCCGGUUGAUCCUGCCGGAGGUCACUGCUAUCAGUGUUCAGACUAAGCCAUGCAAGUCAAAUGUUCUUCGUGAACAUGGCGGACUGCUCAGUAACACGUGGAUAACCUGCCCUUAGGAUUGGCAUAACACCGGGAAACUGGUGAUAAUACCGAAUAGACCAUUUAUGCUGGAAUGCUUUUUGGUUAAAAGGCUUCGGCUGCCUAAGGAUGGAUCUGCGGCCUAUCAGGUAGUAGUGGGUGUAAUGUAUCUACUAGCCUACGACGGGUACGGGUUGUGAGAGCAAGAGCCCGGAGAUGGAUUCUGAGACAUGAAUCCAGGCCCUACGGGGCGCAGCAGGCGCGAAAACUUUACAAUGCGGGAAACCGCGAUAAGGGGACACUGAGUGCCAGCAUAUUAUGUUGGCUGUCCACAUGUUUAAAAAUCAUGUGUUAGCAAGGGCCGGGCAAGACCGGUGCCAGCCGCCGCGGUAACACCGGCGGCCCGAGUGGUGAUCACUUUUAUUGGGUCUAAAGGGUCCGUAGCCGGUUUAAUCAGUCUUCCGGGAAAUCUGACAGCUCAACUGUUAGGCUUUCGGGGGAUACUGUUAGACUUGGGACCGGGAGAGGUAAGAGGUACUACAGGGGUAGGAGUGAAAUCUUGUAAUCCCUGUGGGACCACCAGUGGCGAAGGCGUCUUACCAGAACGGGUCCGACGGUGAGGGACGAAAGCUGGGGGCACGAACCGGAUUAGAUACCCGGGUAGUCCCAGCCGUAAACGAUGUUCGCUAGGUGUCAGGGACGGUGCGACCGUUUCUGGUGCCGUAGGGAAGCCGUGAAGCGAACCACCUGGGAAGUACGGCCGCAAGGCUGAAACUUAAAGGAAUUGGCGGGGGAGCACUACAACGGGUGGAGCCUGCGGUUUAAUUGAUUCAACGCCGGA
rnacentral:rRNA from 1 species